AGAAAUCAUUUAUCGCUGCGGCCGGACAGCAAACUGCUCUUUGGCAGGUACAUUAAGAAAAUGGGCAAAACAUGAGUCCUAACAUUAGUGGAAUGGAAGGAGGAACCAUCGACCUAUGACAAUAUUGUUUCUAAAAAGAACCUACUGAAAAAGAAAUUUGAACCUGGGGAUGUUGUGGAUGUUGCCUAUGAGGAUGAAAGUUCACCAGCCACAGUUCUAGACAUUAAAGAGAACAAAGAAACUCUCAGGAGGAGGAUAUUCAGAAGAGGGGAAUUUACAGACGUAGUACAGAAGAAGUUUCCAAACGUACCAAUAAAAUUUAUCAGAGCAGCAGUAAGGGGAAAAAGUAAAUGAUGAGCACAAGUUACAAGUAAGGAAAAUGGAGUAAACGCAGCCUGUUCAUUGGAUUCUGGUCUACUUUUUAUUUUUAUUUUUUUUAACAAUUUUAAUAAAUAAUUUGUGA
ensembl:processed_transcript